CUUGCAGAGAUGUGAGGGCCAGUUAACCAUAGUUCAAUGACGCGUUAUUAUGGAUCCCACGCAACUUCUAGGCAAGUCCCACCCUGAGAAGCAGCCUGAUUGGUUGGUGUUAUGCAUCGACCUUGAGUAGUUAAGGUUAGGAUAGGCGAAUGGUCAGGGGAUAGGACCUGAACAAAUUGGGUUUCGUGACUUCACGCAAGCAUGGACGCCCAGU